AGAUUCCUCGUUAUUGCAAGGAUGGAGGACAGUGGCAGUGCCCUUGACUCUUCUUUUCCUGUCCUCCAGUGGUGAUUCUCAUCCUGACAAAGCUCUACGACUUCAACUUGGGGAGUGUUACGGAGAGCUCACUGUGGAGGUCAACAGACUAUGGCACUACCUAUGAAAAGCUAAAUGACAAAGUAGGCCUGAAGACUGUGCUGAGCUACCUUUAUGUCAGUCCCACUAACAAGAGGAAGAUCAUGCUUCUUAGUGAUCCAGAGAUUGAGAGCAGCAUCCUCAUCAGCUCUGAUGAAGGGGCAACUUACCAGAAGUACCGUCUGAACUUCUAUAUCCAGAGCUUGCUCUUCCACCCCAAGCAGGAGGAGUGGAUCUUGGCCUACAGUCUGGAUCAAAAGCUGUACAGCUCCAUGGACUUUGGAAGAAAAUGGCAGCUCAUGCAUGAGCGGGUCACUCCAAACAGGUUUUACUGGUCAGUGACGGGCUUGGAUAAAGAACCUGACCUUGUGCACAUGGAAGCCCG